rnacentral:rRNA from 1 species
CCUACGGGAGGCAGCAGUGGGGAAUAUUGGACAAUGGGGGAAACCCUGAUCCAGCGACGCCGCGUGAGUGAAGAAGUAUUUCGGUACGUAAAGCUCUAUCAGCAGGAAAGAAAAUGACGGUACCUGACUAAGAAGCCCCGGCUAACUACGUGCCAGCAGCCGCGGUAAUACGUAGGGGACAAGCGUUAUCCGGAUUUACUGGGUGUAAAGGGAGCGUAGACGGAAUUGCAAGUCUGAUGUGAAAAAGCCGGGGCCCAACCCCGGAACUGAAUUGGAAACUGUAUUUCUAGAGUGUCGGAGAGGCAAGUGGAAUUCCUGGUGUAGCGGUGAAAUGCGUAGAUAUCAGGAGGAACACCAGUGGCGAAGGCGGCUUGCUGGACGAUGACUGACGUUGAGGCUCGAAAGCGUGGGGAGCAAACAGGAUUAGAUACCCCAGUAGUC